rnacentral:lncRNA from 1 species
UGAGGUUAAAUAUACAUGAUUUCUUUUUUGCGAGUUAUCUGCUUUAAUAAUUGUUUGCUUGUGAUUGCUGGUGCUCUUUAGUGUGGAAAUUCUACACAUGUUUUCAAUUGAAAACAUGUAUUUGUACGGAUAUGGAUUAGAUGAUGCCCAUUUACUCUGUCUUUCUAGUUACAAUUGCUAACAGUUGACAAUCACCUUUAUUUAAGAUAAGGUCAUUUAUAUAGAUGAUUAAUGUUUGCACAAUUUUGUUUAUUUCUUCUGCAAAAACAAUAGUCAAAGCUUCUAUCAAUCUUACAUAGUGCAUUUAAUAAAAACAAGAUUGAUAUUAUUUGAUUGAAAAUUAUCCUUGUUGACAAGAAAAAUUUUAAUCACAUUUGACAGUGCACAUAUUAGCAGCAACUCAGAUUAAAUUUGUACAUGAUACAAGCUUCAAGUAUGAAAUAUUAUUGCUAGAUUUAAGGAUCUGUGUACCACCUUGAACAUAUUUAAUAAGUAAUUUUUUUAAAAUGUUUGAAAAUGUGUUUUAUUUAAUUAUUAAAUUUAGUAUCAGUUUGGGUUAUUAUUUAAGGAGACAAUUGCCCAAAGAAACAAUGUUGAUUGAUAAUUGAUUUCAAAUUCUUAUCAAUCACUCUCUGAUGAUGUCUUCAAAACAUUUCGAGAACUUUCUACAACUUUUUUUUCAGAAGUUUAAUAAAUAUGUUUUUAUAAACUUAUUUUUUGGAAUGACAAAAACAAAUUUUGCUUUCACAAAGCUUCAAACCACGAGUUAUUAGGAGCUCAAACAACAAGUUUCCAAAAUUGAAAUGUAGAAUUGUAACUUUGCUUAAGAUUUGCUCAUUUCUUUAAUAUUAACCUUUUUUCUACCUUUAAUACAUUUACAACAAUAUUUUUCCUUGCAAUACUGUGGAAAACAUCCAUUGUUUUUAUUAAUAAAAUAAAAUAAAUCGAAUUAAAAAAUUAAUAUGUGUUGGAGCAUCAAAUUGUACUUAUAAUAUAAAAUUAAAAUUUAAGAUAUAUAUAUAUAUAUAUAUAUAUAUAUACAUACAUAUGUUUUUUGCAAAUGUCACCACAGUUUUUGUUAGUAUUACCAUAACUUUUGUUACUGCCACCACAACAUACCGCCCAUUUGACAUAUUUUUCAUUUCUAUGUAGUCAUUUUUUUUUUUAAUAUAUUUAAUCAAAUGGUAUGAAAGUGAUUGAACAAAAUAAAUAAAUAAAAUUAAUGUUUGAAAUGUUUUGAACAAAGAUGACAGGCAGUGGAUGGAAGAUUGCAAUGGCAAUAGCAAAAUUUGUGGUGGCAGCAACAAUACCCUAUCUCUAUAUAUAAAUCAAGGAGAAUAUUUUGUU